GUGCAGCAGUCGAGAAAACUCCACAAUGCGCGAAAGCGCGAUGGGGCUAUCCCGAGUGCCGUCCGCUGAGGAUGGCUUUUCUCCAGUGUAAGGAGCUGGAGGAAUAAGGAGAGGGCAAGUCUGGUGUCAGCCGCCGCGGUAAUACCAGCUCUCCGAGUGGUAGGGACGUUUAUUGGGCUUAAAGCGUCCGUAGCCGGCUCAACAAGUCCUCCGUUAAAUCCAGCGAUUCAAUCGUUGGACUGCGGGGGAUACUGUUGGGCUAGGGGACGGGAGAGGCCGACGGUAUUCCCGGAGUAGGGGUGAAAUCCUAUAAUUCCGGGAGGACCACCGGUGGCGAAGGCUGUCGGCUAGAACGAGCUCGACGGUGAGGGACGAAAAGCUGGGGGAGCGAACCGGAUUAGAUACCCCCGUAGU
rnacentral:rRNA from 1 species